rnacentral:rRNA from 1 species
UACGUAGGGGGCAAGCGUUGUCCGGAAUUAUUGGGCGUAAAGAGCGCGUAGGCGGUCUGAUAAGUCGGUUGUGAAAGUCGGGGGCUCAACCCUCGGAUGCCGAUCGAUACUGUCAGGCUAGAGUCCGGAAGAGGCGAGUGGAAUUCCUGGUGUAGCGGUGAAAUGCGCAGAUAUCAGGAGGAACACCGGUGGCGAAGGCGGGUCUCUGGGCAAUAACUGACGCUGAGGAGCGAAAGCGUGGGGAGCGAACAGG